rnacentral:ncRNA from 1 species
AAUUAGUUUGAUUCUAGCUAUUUUAUUAGCUUAUAUGAAGAGUUAUAUGUAUAAUUAUAUAAAUUAUAAAGUUAAAUCAGUAAUAAGGAUUUAUUAAGUAAAAAGUUUUAUUUAAGAUAUUUUAUUAAAAUAGAUUAAUGUUGUGCCAGCAUUCGCGGUUAUACAAUUUAUUUAUGUUAAUAAUUUAGGUUUAAAAUAAAUUUUAAUAGUUUAGGUUAUUAUAAAAUUUAAAUUUAGGUGGAAUUUAUUUAAAAAAAAACAACUUUUUAAAAUUUUUUUUAAACCAUAGCAUUAAACUAGGAUUAGAUACCCUAUUAUUUUUGGCUUAUAUUUACAGGACAAUAGUAGUUAUUUACUAUGAAACUCAAAGAAUUUGGCGGUGAAUUAUACCUUUUUAGAGGAAUCUGAACUUUAAUCGAUAAACCACGAUAUGUUUUACCUCUUAUUUAUUUGUAUAUCUCUAUGUAAUAGAAUGUUUUAUUAAAGGAUAAUUUUCUUUUAUUUAUUUAAAUUAUUUUAGGUCAAGGUGCAGUUUUUAUGAAGGAUAGUUUGGGUUACUUUAGUUUUAUUUUUAAAUUAGUUAUUGUUUAUUUAUAAUAAUAUUAUUAAGGAUUUAAUAGUAAUUUUAAUUACUUAAUUAAUUUGAAUAAAGUUUUAAUUCAUGUACAUAUCGCCCGUCACUCCUAAUGGUAGGAUAAGUCGUAACAAAGUAAUUUUACCGGAAGGUGAGGUUAGAUAAG